CAGUAGCCGCGGGAAUACGGAGGGUGCAAGCGUUAAUCGGAAUUACUGGGCGUAAAGCGCACGCAGGCGGUCUGACAAGUCAGAUGUGAAAUCCCCGGGCUUAACCUGGGAACUGCAUUUGAAACUGUCAGGCUGGAGUCUUGUAGAGGGGGGUGGAAUUCCAGGUGUAGCGGUGAAAUGCGUAGAGAUCUGGAGGAAUACCGGUGGCGAAGGCGGCCCCCUGGACAAAGACUGACGCUCAGGUGCGAAAGCGUGGGGAGCAAACAGGAUUAGAUACCCGAGUAGUCCCUGUCUCUUAUAU
rnacentral:rRNA from 1 species